rnacentral:rRNA from 1 species
GACGUAGGAGGCGAGCGUUGUCCGGAUUCAUUGGGCGUAAAGAGCGCGUAGGCGGUCUGUUGCGUCGGCUGUGAAAACCCGGGGCUCAACUCCGAGCCUGCUUCCGAUACGGGCAGACUAGAGGUAGGCAGGGGAGAGCGGAACUCCUGGUGUAGCGGUGGAAUGCGCAGAUAUCAGGAAGAACACCGGUGGCGAAGGCGGCUCUCUGGGCCUUACCUGACGCUGAGGAGCGAAAAGCGUGGGUAGCGAACAGGAUUAGACUACCUGUCA